ACAACAGCAGGGAAUAUGCGCUGAAUGUGGGUACCAUAGCUUCUCAGCCUUCUGUAACACAAGCAGCUGUGGCAAGUGUCAUUGAUGAAAGUACCACGGCAUCCAUAUUAGAGUCACAGGCACUGAAUGUGGAGAUUAAGAGUAAUCAUGACAAAAAUGUUAUUCCAGAUGAGGUGAUGAGACAAACCAUGCUUCUGCCACAUCAACACAGGACUUUUUGGAUCAAGUGACUUCUCAGAAGAAAGCUGAGGCCCAGCCUGUCCACCAAGCUUACCAAAUGAGCUCCUUUGAACAGCCCUUCCGUGCUCCAUAUCAU
rnacentral:sRNA from 1 species